rnacentral:rRNA from 1 species
UACGUAGGGGGCAAGCGUUGUCCGGAAUCAUUGGGCGUAAAGAGCGUGUAGGCGGCUCGUUAAGUCUGCUGUGAAAGUCCAGGGCUCAACCCUGGAAGGCCGGUGGAAACUGUCGGGCUAGAGUCCGGAAGAGGCGAGUGGAAUUCCCGGUGUAGCGGUGAAAUGCACAGAUAUCGGGAGGAACACCAAUGGCGAAGGCAGCUCGCUGGGACGGUACUGACGCUGAGACGCGAAAGCGUGGGGAGCAAACAGG